UGGGGAAUAUUGCACAAUGGGCGAAAGCCUGAUGCGGCAACGCCGCGUGAGUGAUGAAGGCCUUCGGGUUGUAAAGCUCUGUCUUUUGGGACGAUAAUGACGGUACCAAAGGAGGAAGCCACGGCUAACUACGUGCCAGCAGCCGCGGUAAUACGUAGGUGGCAAGCGUUGUCCGGAUUUACUGGGCGUAAAGGAUGCGUAGGCGGAUUUUUAAGUGAGAUGUGAAAACCCUAAGCUUAACUUGGGGACUGCAUUUCAUACUGGAAAUCUAGAGUGCGGGAGAGGAGAAUGGAAUUCCUAGUGUAGCGGUGAAAUGCGUAGAGAUUAGGAAGAACACCAGUGGCGAAGGCGAUUCUCUGGACCGUAACUGACGCUGAGGCAUGAAAGCGUGGGUAGCAAACAGGAUUAGAUACCCUGGUAGUCCACGCCGUAAACGAUGAGUACUAGGUGUAGGAGGUAUCGACCCCUUCUGUGCCGCAGUUAACACAAUAAGUACUCCGCCUGGGAAGUACGAUCGCAAGAUUAAAACUUAAAUGAAUUGACGGGGUCAUAGCUGUUUCC
rnacentral:rRNA from 1 species